ACGCUCUACAGUGAACUCUAAAAGACCAGAAAGAGGGGAAGUGUCUAAAACAAGAGCUUGUUUACAAGAAAAGGUCCCUCAGACUCUGGUCUGUGUAGCCAGGGCUUCCCUAUCUGUCUGCUCCUCAAGACAGGAGCACUGGGGCCCUGUUCAUUUGAUCGGGUCCCAGAAAUGUGAUAGAAAGGGCCACUCCUCUCCACGCCCACGAGCAAAAGCUGAAGAAUUUAGUUUUUUUAUUUUACAUUUCAAAAAUAUGGCAUCAUAAUUAGCACACAUAAAUAAACCAUAACUGGCCUGCAGUAUUUCUUAUUGUCCUGUAGAUGGUGUUGAAGAGAUGAGGAGAGAGGUGGUGGAAAAGAAUAGGUGGAAGGGAAGAGAAGGGGAGAGAGGUGGUGGACAGAAUAGGUGGACGAGAAGACAAGGGGACAGAGGUGGUAGACAGAAUAUGGAGAGAAGAGAGGCGGAACGACGUGGUGGACAGAAUAAGAGGGAAGAGAAGAAAGGCGGAGGGAGGUGGUGGACAGAAUAAGAGGGAAGAGAGGAGGAGGGAGGUGCUGCAAGGAAUAAGAGGGAAGAGAGGCGGAGGGAGGUGGUGGACAGAAUAAGAGGGAAGAGAGGAGGAGGGAGGUGCUGCAAGGAAUAAGAGGGAAGAGAAGAGAGGCGGAGGGAGGUGCUGGAUGGAAUAAGAGGGAAGAGAGGAGGAGGGAGGUGCUGCAAGGAAUAAGAGGGAAGAGAGGAGGACGGAGGUGCUGGAUGGAAUAAGAGGGAAGAGAGGCGGACGGAGGUGCUGGAUGGAAUAAGAGGGAAGAGAGGAGGACGGAGGUGCUGGAUGGAAUAGGAAGAAGAGAAGAGGGAAAGAGAAGAGGGGAAGAGGGAGGUGGAGGUGGAGGACAGAAUAGGCGGUGCUGGUUUCAAAAAGGCCCACACUUCUGAAGGGGGAUCUCAUUUACAUUGCCUUGAUUACCUGAGUCCUCCACUGAGGGAGUUUGAUUAACCUGAACCGUGGUGCACCGGGCUUUGUCCCGUGACGUGAACGGAUAAAAGGGGGAAAGGAGGGACAUCUUUCUUAACUCUACGUGCAUAACUUUCGUCACUUUUGUUGAAAGUGAGUCCCAGGAAGCAGCCUCUUCCAAAACGAAUGCAAUCAUUUUUCACGCAUGUUAACAUAAUUUUCAUUAGCAGGUGGCUGAAUCUCAACAGAGAAACCACCCGAGCGAGGAAAACACCCCUCUGUCUCAGGAUGUGUAGCCCAUGUGUCUGAUGCCGUCUGGACCAAAAUAGAAUAUAUAACAUGUUGCCGCCAUAGCAGUUGAUUGAUGCCAGCAAGCAUUUAGCCUCUCUUGAUAAAAACAUUAUAAAAUAAUUAGCUAAUCAGCGUUGAGCUGAAAUGUGGGUUGUCCUGGUGCAGCAAAACAGCCCCAAGGGAUACCCCAAUCAAAUCACAUCCUAAGAAAAAGGUAAUCUUCAUGAAAAACGUGUCUGUUUCUGGUCUGUUUGUGUUGAUGUCCUGCAGUAGCUACCUUGUGUUGAUGUCCUGCAGUAGCUAGCUUGUGUUGAUGUCCUGCAGUAGCAGGAGCAGGACCUGUAACACCACCCGAUGCUACAGGAAGGCCAUAAAGAUCAUCAAGGACAUCAACCACCCGAGCCACUGCCUGUUCACCCCGCUGUCAUCCAGAAGGCGAGGUCAGUACAGGUGCAUCAAAG
ensembl:lncRNA